CGACCCCAGGUCAGGCGGGACU
rnacentral:rRNA from 2 species